rnacentral:lncRNA from 1 species
GCUUAAUGAGCCCAUCGAGCUUAACAACUGAGCCGAGUUUGGCAUGUCCAAGCUCGAGCUCGACUCGUUAAGCUAAACGAGCUUGAGGAUUGGGUUUGGACUCGCGAGUCCGUCAAGUCGGGCUUUAUCUAACACCCUAGACACGACUAAUUUUUUCGUCGACACGACACGAACACGACUCGUGUUAAAAAAAUUUAACACAAACACGACGCAACUGAAUC